rnacentral:rRNA from 1 species
GAAGAACCUUACCUACUCUUGACAUCUACAGAAGCCAGCGGAGACGCAGGUGUGCCUUCGGGAACUGUAAGACAGGUGCUGCAUGGCUGUUGUCAGCUCGUGUUGUGAAAUGUUGGGUUAAGUCCCGCAACGAGCGCAACCCUUAUCCUUGUUUGCCAGCACUUCGGGUGGGAACUCCAGGGAGACUGCCGGUGAUAAACCGGAGGAAGGUGGGGACGACGUCAAGUCAUCAUGGCCCUUACGAGUAGGGCUACACACGUGCUACAAUGGCGCAUACAGAGGGCGGCCAACUUGCGAAAGUGAGCGAAUCCCAAAAAGUGCGUCGUAGUCCGGAUUGGAGUCUGCAACUCGACUCCAUGAAGUCGGAAUCGCUAGUAAUCGUGGAUCAGAAUGCCACGGUGAAUACGUUCCCGGGCCUUGUACACACCGCCCGUCACACCAUGGGAGUGGGCUGCAAAAGAAGUGGGUAGUUUAACCUUCGGGAGGACGCUCACCACUUUGUGGUUCAUGACUGGGGUGAAGUCGUAGGCAAGGUAACCGAAG